rnacentral:snoRNA from 3 species
UAUAGAUGAUGUCUUCUCACAGUGGUCUUCAGGUGCUCACCCUGGGCACUGCUGAGAAAGCCACUUGGCACAGCUGAUGCCAGAAG